rnacentral:lncRNA from 1 species
GAGGAAACAUCCUUGUCUUGUUCCUGAUUUUAGCAGGAAAGCUGGAAGUUUCUUAAUGUUAAGCGUAAUCACACACAAGACCGCCAAGCAUUAAGAUUCUCCUGUGGAGCCAGGCUACAAUCCUUUAAAUGAAGACAGACAGCUAGGUGGCUGCAGCCCAGCGCUACACCUCACCCCUCCCUCAGUGUCAUGCAGAAAAAAUGUAUUCAGAACUCAGAAGUGAAGUUGUGCAAAUCCAUCAUUGACACUAGCUUCAAGGUUACCUCGGGGGAGCAGAAUGUACCCCUGCCAGAGAGCUGGAUAGAUGAUGAUGGGGACAGAAAUUCUGGGGGAGUUGUAAAUGGCAGCCACUGCCUCUAUAGGAAACCCAAAGGGAACACAGCAGAAGAGGAGGUGGUGGAGGAGCCACUGCCCUCUCGAAGGGUUCAAUGUCAUUCUGCAGACACAACCAAAUAACUUUUUCUUCCCUGCUGCUCCUCCAUUUGAAAUGACAGCCCCGAGCUCGCUUUUUCCUUGAUUGUGUAACUCUGAUUACAGACAAGGCCAAGGCAAUCCCAGGGCAUUACUACAAAGCUAAGGGGUCCCCAAAGAACUAAAGAGUCAGCUCCACAAAAAUCCCGAUUCCUAGCAUGAAACUGAAAUAUGAAACCAAACGGGCAUAGAAAAGGUAUGUGCAUUCGAAUCACAUAGCAGUGACUGGAGUCCUGAGCUGUGUCUGAAGACUGUGAGAUCACGUUUGGAGCUGCUGAUUGGUUUUCAGUGAUGGCCCUGUUGCACAGUGCCGUGAGACUUAGCUCCAUGGCCAAAGACGAUGGUAUCCCCUAGGAGCCCUGUGAGGUUGCUGCUGUUCUCUUAAGACACCAGGUAGCCAUCUGAUCCUCCCUGAGCAAACUAACUGGGCAGACAGGUUUAUUAAACCUCUGUUGGUCCGACUUACAUGAAACAAGAGAGUUAUUUUGUUGUUGUUGUUUUGUUUUGUUUUAAAUUAAACCUGUCUUUGG